UACGUAGGGGGCAAGCGUUGUCCGGAUUAUUGGGCGUAAAGAGCGUGUAGGCGGCUUUACAGGUCCGUUGUGAAAACUCGAGGCUCAACCUCGAGACGCCGGUGGAAACCGUAAGGCUAGAGUCCGGAAGAGGAGAGUGGAAUUCCUGGUGUAGCGGUGAAAUGCGCAGAUAUCAGGAAGAACACCCGUGGCGAAGGCGGCUCUCUGGGACGGUACUGACGCUGAGACGCGAAAGCGUGGGAGCGAACAGG
rnacentral:rRNA from 1 species